rnacentral:rRNA from 1 species
UACGUAGGGACCAAGCGUUGUUCGGAUUUACUGGGCGUAAAGGGCGCGUAGGCGGCAAUUCAAGUCAUCUGUGAAAUCUCCGGGCUUAACUCGGAAUGGUCAGGUGAUACUGCUUUGCUAGAGUGCAGAAGGGGCAAUCGGAAUUCUUGGUGUAGCGGUGAAAUGGCGUAGAUAUCAAGAGGAACACCUGAGGUGAAGACGGGUUGCUGGGCUGACACUGACGCUGAGGCGCGAAAGCUAGGGGAGCAAACGGG